GUAGUUGGACCUGGAGUAGUUGUAGAUGUGGUUGUUCCUUCUGUUGUUGGUUCUUCACUUGUUGUAACCUGUGUAGUUGAUAGUUCUGUAGUUGUUAUUGUUGUCAGUACAGUUGUACUUGUAGUUUCCUCUGAAGUACUUGGUUCCUGAGUUGUAGUGGUUGGGGCUACAGUUGUUGUAGAUGCUGUUGUUGGUACUGUUGUUGGUUCUGUGCUUGUUGUAGCCUGUGUAGUUGAUUCUGUGGUAGUGGUUAGUUCUGUUGUUGCUGCUGUAGUUAAUGUUGUACUUGGAGCUGUCAUUGUUUCCUCUGUAGUUGUUGCUUCCUCAGUUGGAGUAGUUGGAGCUGGAGUAGUUGUAGAUGCAGUUGUUCCUACUGUUGUUGGUUCUGUGCUUGUUGUAGCCUGUGUAGUUGAUUCUGUGGUAGUAGUUAGUUCUGUUGUUGCUGCUGUAGAUGAUGAUGUACUUGGAGCUGUAGUUGUUUCCUCUGUAGUUGUUGCUUCCUCAGUUAGAGCUGGAGUAGUUGUAGAUGCAGUUGUUCCUACUGUUGUUGGUUCUGUGGUAGUGGUUAGUUCUGUUGUUGCUGCUGUAGUUAAUGUUGUACUUGGAGCUGUAGUUGUUUCCUCUGUAGUUGUUGCUUCCUCAGUUGGAGUAGUUGGAGCUGGAGUAGUUGUAGAUGCAGUUGUUCCUACUGUUGUUGGUUCUGUGCUUGUUGUAGCCUGUGUAGUUGAUUCUGUGGUAGUAGUUAGUUCUGUUGUUGCUGCUGUAG
ensembl:lncRNA